rnacentral:tRNA from 1 species
GGCCCUAGAAAGCCCUGCAAGCACA